rnacentral:rRNA from 1 species
GUCCUAGCCCUAAACGGUGCACGUUUGCUGUGAGAGGAAUCGACCCCUUUCGUGGCGAAGCUAACGCGUUAAACGUGCCGCCUGGGAAGUACGGCCGCAAGGUUAAAACUCAAAGAAAUUGACGGGGGCCUGCACAAGCGGUGGAGUAUGUGGCUUAAUUCGAUGCAACGCGAAGAACCUUACCUGGCCUUGACAUGUAGGUGGUAGAAGCUUGAAAGGGCAACGACCCCGCAAGGGGAGCCUACACAGGUGCUGCAUGGCUGUCGU